GCUUGCACUCGGUUGAGAAGAGUCUCAUCCGGGAGAGGCGAAUGAUUAGAAGGCAUUGGGGUCGAAAAGACCUCC
rnacentral:rRNA from 1 species